GAUGAAGUGAGUUGAAGGAUCGUCGAACCUCGACAGGGGUAAACAGGCUUUCGAUCCCCGGCAUUCAUAUAAAUAGAGGCCAGGGGCUCCUAGUUGGCUCAUUCAGUGUUUUGUGUUGAGUCCGAGAGGUUCAGGAUCAGGAGCAGCUUGUGAUCGCGCCUUGGGGUCACUCAGACCAAUAAAACUAUCAGAAACUCGUCUUUGGAUACCUUUCUUCAGGAUUCAGCCUGCAUGCAGACCCCUUAUGGCAGAUAUGUUGAGGUUUUAUCUUCUCUGUAUCAGCCUGGCAGCUGCUUACCAAAAUUAAUAGCACAAAAAUGACAAUGAAGUAGUUUCCACAUCCCAAAUCAACAUCCAGUUGUCAAUAAUGACAGCCCGGACCCGUCUAAGAACCAAAAGCUACGGCUCUAUCAGGGCUUGCACCUGGCCAGAACACCUAUUGGCACUCAUCACGGAACAUUGAAUCGUUGGAAGGCCGCACAACACCGCACUUCAGCCAUCCACCACCCAUCCAUCCAUCACCCACCAAACGUCGUCUCGGCCCUUUGGACAAAAUUUACAUUUGAGUUUAAGUUUAGGUGUAAACAAUAAACAAAAAACAACAAUAGGCUACCAAAAAAAGCGAAAAAUCCAA